AAAAAUGUUGUUGAUAAAUUCCUCUUGAGUCUAAGAGCAUCAUCAACAAAGAGACUCCAUCUUACAACACAUUGCUUCUUGUCGGAGCAGAUAUUGUAUUUGAAUUAAGCUACCAUCAAUUUAAAUAUGUUGCGACAGCUGCUAUUCCUGUUUUCCCUCUAUCUCUUGUCAGCAACGAAGAUCGCCUCAGCUCUAUCAGAUGAUGAUGAAUAUGACGAUAGAGUGAUUGCUCUUAUCAUUACUUCUUCCGCGAUGCUGGCAGUGUGUAUUUUAUUAAUCGGUAUCACGUGCCAUUUAGCAAAAAAAUUGCGAACCAAAUGGAAUCCUUAGUCCAUUUUGUAUGAGUUCAAACAGGAAAAUAUAUGUAUAUAGCAUAUUGUAAAAUUUCCUCACAUAACGCUUGUGACAAAAAUAUUUAAGUAGUAGAAUAAGACAAAAAUUAGCUCCAAGAUGUGCAUGAAAUGACGGCAUUUUAUUUCACUAUGAAAUAGAUUUGAAAUAGGGGUUGUAUAGGAUGUAUCAAAUUCAUUCAUUUAAUAACGCAAUAAUAACUUUUUUUCACAAAUAUUUAAAUAAAAUAUUAAUCAAAAUGCAAGUAUUUACUAGAAAAAACGUACACUUUUAUAAGCACAUUUUAAUAAUGAUGUGCAAAAUAAAAACUUGUUACCAUUUACCAUUUA